CCAUGGUAGGUACACACUGCCCACAGCUACACCAUGGUAGGUACACACUGCCCACAGCUACACCAUGGUAGGUACACACUGCCCACAGCUACACCAUGGUAGGUACACACUGCCCACAGCUACACCAUGGUAGGUACACACUGCCCACAGCUACACCAUGGUAGGUACACACU